rnacentral:rRNA from 1 species
UACGGAGGGGCUAGCGUUGUUCGGAAUUACUGGGCGUAAAGCGCGCGUAGGCGGACCUGCAAGUCGGGGGUGAAAGCCCGAGGCUCAACCUCGGAACUGCCUUCGAUACUGCGGGUCUUGAGUCCGGGAGAGGUGAGUGGAAUUCCGUAGUGUAGAGGUGAAAUUCGUAGAUAUUCGGAAGAACACCAGUGGCGAAGGCGGCUCACUGGCCCGGUACUGACGCUGAGAUACGAAAGCGUGGGGAGCCAAACAGG